rnacentral:rRNA from 1 species
ACUCAAUAGAUACCCGGGUAGUCCUUGCUGUAAACUAUGUAUACUUGGUGUAACUGGACUCAAACCCUAGUUGUGCCGGAGCUAAACGCGUUAAGUAUACCGCCUGGGGAGUACAGUCGCAAGGCUGAAACUCAAAAGAAUUGACGGGGACCCGCACAAGCAGUGGAGCAUGUGGUUUAAUUCGAUGCAACGCGAAGAACCUUACCCAGACUUGACAUGCAGUAGACCGAUCCAGAAAUGGGUCUUUCCUUCGGGACUGCUGCACAGGUGCUGCAUGGCUGUCGUCAGCUCGUGCCGUGAGGUGUUGGGUUAAGUCCCGCAACGAGCGCAACCCUUAUCAUUAGUUGCCAACAUUUAACGGUGGGAACUCUAAUGAGACUGCCUGGGUUAACCCAGGAGGAAGGUGAGGAUGACGUCAAGUCCGCAUGGCCCUUAUGUCUGGGGCUACACACGUGCUACAAUGGUCGGUACAGAAGGCAGCAAAGCCGUGAGGUGGAGCAAAUCCC